GACGAACCGAGCGAACGUUGUUCGGAAUCACUGGGCUUAAAGGGCGCGUAGGCGGGUGCUCAAGUCCGUGGUGAAAUCCUCCGGCUCAACCGGAGAACUGCCUCGGAUACUGGGUGCCUCGAGGGUGGUAGGGGUAUGCGGAACUAUCGGUGGAGCGGUGAAAUGCGUUGAUAUCGAUAGGAACUCCGGUGGUGAAGGCGGCAUACUGGACCACCUCUGACGCUGAGGCGCGAAAGCCAGGGGAGCAAACGGG
rnacentral:rRNA from 1 species